rnacentral:rRNA from 1 species
UCAAGAAACUUCCACAAUGGGCGAAAGCCUGAUGGAGCGACGUCGCGUGAUGGACGAAGUGCUUCGGCACGUAAACAUCUUUUAUGUGGGAUGAAAUUAUUGACAGUACCACAUGAAUAAGGGGCUCCUAACUCUGUGCCAGCAGGAGCGGUAAUACAGAGGCCCCAAGCGUUAUCCGGAAUCACUGGGCGUAAAGGGUGUCGAGGCGGUUGUAUUAGUCGUUCGUAAAAUCUACGAGCUUAACUUGUAGGCGGCGAACGAAACGGUACGACUUGAGGUUUGGAGAGGUGCGUGGAACUCACGGUGUAGGGGUGAAAUCCGUUGAUAUCGUGGGGAACACCAAAGGCGAAGGCAGCGCACUGGCCAAAAUCUGACGCUCACACACGAAAGCUAGGGUAGCGAGGAGGAUUAGAUACCCCAGUAGUCCCUGAGCGGGCUGGCAAGGCGCAU